rnacentral:rRNA from 1 species
ACCUGACUGCUAUCGGAUUGAUACUAAGCCAUGCGAGUCAUUGUAGCAAUACAAGGCAUACGGCUCAGUAACGCGUAGUCAACCUAACCUAUGGACGGGAAUAACCUCGGGAAACUGAGAAUAAUGCCCGAUAGAACAUUAUGCCUGGAAUGGUUUAUGUUCCAAAUGAUUUAUCGCCGUAGGAUGGGACUGCGGCCUAUCAGUUUGUUGGUGAGGUAAUGGCCCACCAAGACUAUUACAGGUACGGGCUCUGAGAGGAGUAGCCCGGAGAUGGGUACUGAGACACGGACCCAGGCCCUAUGGGGCGCAGCAGGCGAGAAAACUUUGCAAUGUGCGAAAGCACGACAAGGUUAAUCCGAGUGGUUUCUGCUAAAGAAACCUUUUGUCAGUCCUAGAAACACUGAUGAAUAAGGGGUGGGCAAGUUCUGGUGUCAGCCGCCGCGGUAAAACCAGCACCUCAAGUGGUCAGGAUGAUUAUUGGGCCUAAAGCAUCCGUAGCCGGCUCUGUAAGUUUUCGGUUAAAUCUGUACGCUCAACGUACAGGCUGCCGGGAAUACUGCAGAGCUAGGGAGUGGGAGAGGUAGACGGUACUCGGUAGGAAGGGGUAAAAUCCUUUGAUCUAUUGAUGACCACCUGUGGCGAAGGCGGUCUACCAGAACACGUCCGACGGUGAGGGAUGAAAGCUGGGGGAGCAAACCGGAUUAGAUACCCGGGUAGUCCCAGCUGUAAACUAUGCAAACUCAGUGAUGCAUUGGCUUGUGGCCAAUGCAGUGCUGCAGGGAAGCCGUUAAGUUUGCCGCCUGGGAAGUACGUACGCAAGUAUGAAACUUAAAGGAAUUGGCGGGGGAGCACCACAAGGGGUGAAGCCUGCGGUUCAAUUGGAUUCAACGCCGGAAAU